rnacentral:lncRNA from 1 species
UAUAUAAUCCAUGCUCCAAGUCUCUGUUUCGGGCAAAUGGAAUAUACACAAUGUGUUAAACUGUUUCUAUAUAUACCAUAUUUUUCUUCCAACUCUGCAUAUUUGAGGAAAAAGAUAGAUAAUAUAGUGACCUCUACAAACGAGGAAAUAAAUAUUUCUGCUAACAUAAAAAUACAGGCAAUUGCAUGGGUGAUCUUAAGCAUACCGAUGUUAAGUCACCUUCAGGCUAGCAAUUGGGCAUUAACCCCAUAACAGAUAGAGAGCACAAAGAAUAAUUGAGACAGACUUUCCCUAACCAAUUCUUUUAUAACCAGAAACUUGCGCUUAUUCAUAAUGGAUUGGAGCAUGCGAAAAUAGCCCAAAGCAAUCACCAGCCAUGCUUCUUGUGAGAAUAAGAUAUCUCCUCCUGCAGCAGCUGCUGCUACUGCUCUCCAUCUUGGCAACCAACUGUGCAAA